rnacentral:misc_RNA from 1 species
UCAAACUUGGUCAUUUAGAGGAAGUAAAAGUCGUAACAAGGUUUCCGUAGGUGAACCUGCGGAAGGAUCAUUACUGAGUGAGGGCCCUCUGGGUCCAACCUCCCACCCGUGUUUAACGAACCUUGUUGCUUCGGCGGGCCCGCCUCACGGCCGCCGGGGGGCAUCCGCCCCCGGGCCCGCGCCCGCCGAAGACACCUGUGAACUCUGUCUGAAGUUGCAGUCUGAGAAACUAUUUAAAUUAGUUAAAACUUUCAACAACGGAUCUCUUGGUUCCGGCAUCGAUGAAGAACGCAGC